rnacentral:lncRNA from 1 species
AUUUGUUACAUAUCCUGUCUACUUGGAGAGAACAGAAGUGAGUGCUGCUUCCAGACAAGCCACUUUUUGUUGUUUAGGGAGAUGCACUACACGGGUUGGCAGGAGUGUGUGGGUGCUCAAGAAGAUAAGACCAAAAAGGAGGAGACACUGAAGCAGGAGGGUUUCUACAGGCCUCCCAGUGUUGGGACAGGAAUCCACUCACCAAUCCCCAAUACUAUGAAUGAAUUCGGGAGUUGAGAUAGCUUCUUCUGGAGUCUGUUUUCUUGCUUUUUAAAGGAACCCUUGGGUGUUCAUCCUAUUUCUUUUUCGUUUGCUCAGUGAAGCCAAAUUUGUACCUGCUAACAGGGCAGAUGGGUGCAUUUUUGCUUUGCCCACCAGGGAAGCAAAUUCUUUCUUAGUUCCAGAUACAAGAGCUGAACACCAGGAUCAUUCAAAUACUGGCAACUUGAAGCCAUGAAUUACAAACUAAGCACAAUUGCCCCAUUUUGAAUGCAAGAAAAAGCAUCUUUUUUACUUUUAAAAAAUGACACAACAAUGGGAUACAUUUUUAGAAUCACAGAAUGGCCUGGGUUGAAAAGGAUCACAAUGGCCAUCUGGUUUCAACCCCCUGCUAUGUGCAGGUCACCAACCAGCAGACCAGGCUGCCCAGAGCCACAUCCAGCCUGGCCUUGAAUGCCUCCAGGGAUGGGGCAUCCACAGCCUCCUUGGGCAACCUGUUCCAGUGCCUCACCACCCUCUGUGUGAAAAACUUCCUCCUAAUAUCCAACCUAAACCUCCCCUGUCUCAGUUUAAAGCCAUUCCCCUUGUCCUAUCACUAUCCACCCUUGUAAACAGCCGUUCCCCCUCCUGUUUAUAAGCUCCCUUCAAGUACUGAAAGGCCACAAUGAGGUCUCCCCAAAGCCUUCUCUUCUCCAAGCUCAAUAAGCCCAAUUCCCUCAACCUUUCCUCACAGGAGAGCUGCUCAAGCCCUCUGACCAUCUCAGUGCCCUCCUCUGGACCCGCUCCAAGAGCUCUGCAUCUUUCUUGUACUGGGGGCCCCAGGCCUGGACGCAGUGCUGCAGAUGGGGCCUCACAAGACACUGUCAUAGAAUUUAAAGGGUCAUGGAUUGUAAAAUCAUUAAGAUUGGAAAAAGCCUCCAAGAUCGUCACAUUCAACCAUCACCACCAUGCCCACUCAUAGAAUCAUUCAGGCUGGAAGGGGCUGGUCCCUGUGUCCCUAUGUCUAAAGGCUUCCCGAAGCUUGGAGAGGAGGAUUUCCGUGCAAGUUCUCACCCCACCUUUUAAUUACACCUAAACAGCUCAUUAUGGUUCUACUACAAACUUUGCUCACAAGAACAUCCUGCAACAUGCAUUGAGCAUGUACCAACAGUGCAUACCUACACACUGGGUCUCAUACAUCACUCUGUUUUUAUUCACUGGAAGAUCUUAGGAAAUCUCCCUGCUCCAUUUGGGGCAGAGCGAGCACCAACGCUCGUUUCCAUAUUAAUUGCAAACAUGAAAUAAAUGCGCUGUUAAGACACGCA